rnacentral:rRNA from 1 species
AUUGAACGCUGGCGGCAGGCCUAACACAUGCGAGUCGAGCGGAUGAAGGGAGCUUGCUCCUGGAUUCAGCGGCGGACGGGUGAGUAAUGCCUAGGAAUCUGCCUGGUAGUGGGGGAUAACGUCCGGAAACGGGCGCUAAUACCGCAUACGUCCUGAGGGAGAAAGUGGGGGAUCUUCGGACCUCACGCUGUCAGAUGAGCCUAGGUCGGAUUAGCUAGUUGGUGGGGUAAAGGCCUACCAAGGCGACGAUCCGUAACUGGUCUGAGAGGAUGAUCAGUCACACUGGAACUGAGACACGGUCCAGACUCCUACGGGAGGCAGCAGUGGGGAAUAUUGGACAAUGGGCGAAAGCCUGAUCCAGCCAUGCCGCGUGUGUGAAGAAGGUCUUCGGAUUGUAAAGCACUUUAAGUUGGGAGGAAGGGCAGUAAGUUAAUACCUUGCUGUUUUGACGUUACCAACAGAAUAAGCACCGGCUAACUUCGUG